rnacentral:rRNA from 1 species
GACGUAGGGCGCGAGCGUUGUCCGGAUUUAUUGGGCGUAAAGAGCUCGUAGGCGGCUUGUCGCGUCGACUGUGAAAACCCGCGGCUCAACCGCGGGCCUGCAGCCGAUACGGGCAGGCUAGAGUUCGGUAGGGGAGAAUGGAAUUCCCGGUGUAGUGGUGAAAUGCGUAGAUAUCGGGAGGAACACCAGUGGCGAAGGCGACUUCCUGGCCUGUUCUUGACGCUGAGGCGCGAAAGCUAGGGUAGCAAACGGG